CAGCAGCCGCGGUAAUACGAAGGGGGCUAGCGUUGCUCGGAAUGACUGGGCGUAAAGGGCGCGUAGGCGGCACACACAGUCAGGCGUGAAAUUCCUGGGCUUAACCUGGGGGCUGCGUUUGAUACAUGUGAGCUAGAGGAUGGAAGAGGCUCGUGGAAUUCCCAGUGUAGAGGUGAAAUUCGUAGAUAUUGGGAAGAACACCGGUGGCGAAGGCGGCGAGCUGGUCCAUUACUGACGCUGAGGCGCGAAAGCGUGGGGAGCAAACAGGAUUAGAUACCCGCGUAGUCCCUGUCUCUUAUAC
rnacentral:rRNA from 1 species